rnacentral:rRNA from 1 species
AUGGGAUUCGGCGACCGGACGAGGGCAUGGGCGUCGAUCUUCCUCCUCCAGCUCCCAGUCACAGGCGCCGCCACCAUCGACCAGAUCUUCACCACGGCCCCUCGCACGACCUCGUCGGCGACGCGUCCUCCAGGGCAAAGCUAUGGAGGAGUCCCUGUGCCAUGCCACGGAGCUGGCGCAGGCCGUCGCCAAUGCCCUCUUCUCGCUGCCGGCGACGGCCCCGUCGUCCGCCUCCCGCCGCCCACCAAUCGCCUACCCCACGAGAAGCAUAUAUCAACGAGAAGACGUUGUUGGUACUCUGUCCGGAGGAGCGCGCCAUUGCACCAUCGACAGGAAGAGGCUAGGUGGAGCGCAGAGUCACCACCGGCUGUGCCCUGGGCGAUCUGCUGA